UGGCUCAGAGGGUAAAGCGUCUGCCUGCAAUGCAGGAGACCUAGGUUCGUUCCCUGG
rnacentral:tRNA from 1 species